CAUACACCUGUAAGGUCACUCUACAAUGAUUCUGGGGAAAUAAACUGCAAGAAUAUGGAUGUUGCAAUUGGAUCUGAAGGUGACAAACAUGGGAUCAUUCCUGGGAAUCACAGUCUUUGUCUAGAGGCGCAUACCAUCUCAGGAAGAGUGUUUUCCAGCGGGAGUAUAAUGUUGGGACCUUGGGAAUUUGGGACCUUUUAAAAAUAUUAUUGCAUGUUACAGAUAUAUUUCCACCUACUCAAAGAAAUCAG